rnacentral:ncRNA from 1 species
UCGAGCCGUGUGACGCGAGAGUGUCACGCACGGUUCCUAGAGCGGCGGCGGGUGAAACUCCCGCCGCCGACUCACC